CAUGGACCAGCUUGUUGCUAAAGGUGUUAUCAGUGAUUCAUUUUUAUGUGUUAUGGAGGAAUGGGUGUAGGUGGGGGCGUUAUGGUUCUAGGUGGGAUUAAAUCCCCCCGGGAUAUGGUGCUUGCCCAUUUGGAUCCUUUUUGCAGUCCAUAUUACAAUAUUGAAUUGAUGGAGAUACAUGUGGCUGGAAAGGCUUUGAAGUUUUACCCAAAGGUGUUUGAUGAAAAGCAUGGAAUUGUCUUGGAUAGUGGAACGACGUAUGCAUACUCUCCAAAGGAUGCUUUUAUUGCAUUUAAGGAUGCUAUCACUGUAUAGAGGGCUAGGGGAGCAAUGACUGCAGAGUGGAAUGCCAGGUUUGUUUGCUACUUUUGCUGCUUUAAUAAAACUUUGGAGAAGUGACUAAAGAAUUUGAUAAUUCUUGAUCUCUUAGAUAAAAAUUGCUCUGGAAUGGUAGCGUGGAGAAAGAUUGAGUAUUGAUGUUUUGCUGCCGUCUUGAUCUUAAAAGUAAGCACAAAGUUUUUUCUCUGUACUACAGAGUACUCUCGUAAUUUCGUGAAGUUAUUCCAGAGGCAGUACUCUUUUCUCUUCUUCCAUUUUGAUGUUUCGUUACUUGAGCGCAUAUCUCUUGUGUUUAUUUGUCCUUGUUUGUAGUUCCCUGAUGACCUGAACUUACCAUGUGGGGUACUCCGUCUUAACUCUUAACCCAAAUGGAGGUCAUGGAAGCCAGAGUGGGUUAUGGUGGGAAGUUCUCUACCAGGUCACCAGCAGGAACACAAGCCUAAGAAGCAGAGAAUCGAUUCAGUGUCAUCUCCGAUUGUCCCUAUCAUUGUCAACUCUGUGAUUGGUGAAGAAAUGAAGGGCUACAGUGGAUUAAAACCCUUCAUGAUGACUACUUCCUUCCACGGAGACAAUUCAAAUUCUCUGAGCCACCUGAUGCAUCAGACCUUUAAAAAUUCAACUUUUGAGAGUAACUCAUUGGUAGCAGAAGAAGAGUACUCCAAAGGCUCUGGCCAAUCAAACUGUGAAGUUUCUUGUUGAUCAUGAUUCCACGGUCUCCUUGUGUGAUAGUUGUACCCGAAUGGUUUUCUUCAGACUUGGUGACAUCUAGGCUCACUCAACACUUACUUCCAUUGUAUUUGGCCAAUGAAAAGAUGUUUACUCAACCUAGCUGCAUAUGUGCAAUAUUUAUAUCAUUUGCAGUCAGCCUCUUGUUGUAUUUCCUUUAUUCAAUAAUAGAUGUAGCUCUGCUAUUUUUAAGAGUCAAGACUCAUAACACUCCUAUAUGUUCACAGUUAA